rnacentral:rRNA from 2 species
AGUCGAGCGAAUGGAUUGAGAGCUUGCUCUCAAGAAGUUAGCGGCGGACGGGUGAGUAACACGUGGGUAACCUGCCCAUAAGACUGGGAUAACUCCGGGAAACCGGGGCUAAUACCGGAUAACAUUUUGAACUGCAUGGUUCGAAAUUGAAAGGCGGCUUCGGCUGUCACUUAUGGAUGGACCCGCGUCGCAUUAGCUAGUUGGUGAGGUAACGGCUCACCAAGGCAACGAUGCGUAGCCGACCUGAGAGGGUGAUCGGCCACACUGGGACUGAGACACGGCCCAGACUCCUACGGGAGGCAGCAGUAGGGAAUCUUCCGCAAUGGACGAAAGUCUGACGGAGCAACGCCGCGUGAGUGAUGAAGGCUUUCGGGUCGUAAAACUCUGUUGUUAGGGAAGAACAAGUGCUAGUUGAAUAAGCUGGCACCUUGACGGUACCUAACCAGAAAGCCACGGCUAACUACGUGCCAGCAGCCGCGGUAAUACGUAGGUGGCAAGCGUUAUCCGGAAU